rnacentral:rRNA from 1 species
UACGGGGGGGGCAAGCGUUGUUCGGAAUUACUGGGCGUAAAGGGCUCGUAGGUGGCCAACUAAGUCAGACGUGAAAUCCCUCGGCUUAACCGGGGAACUGCGUCUGAUACUGGAUGGCUUGAGUUUGGGAGAGGGACGCGGAAUUCCAGGUGUAGCGGUGAAAUGCGUAGAUAUGCGGAGGAACACCGAUGGCGAAGGCAGUCCCCUGGGCCUGUACUGACGCUCAUGCACGAAAGCGUGGGGAGCAAGCAGG